UGCGCGUGCUAUACAUGCAGUCGAGCGGACAGAAGGGAGCUUGCUCCCGGAUGUUAGCGGCGGACGGGUGAGUAACACGUGGGUAACCUGCCUGUAAGACUGGGAUAACUCCGGGAAACCGGAGCUAAUACCGGAUAGUUCCUUGAACCGCAUGGUUCAAGGAUGAAAGACGGUUUCGGCUGUCACUUACAGAUGGACCCGCGGCGCAUUAGCUAGUUGGUGGGGUAAUGGCUCACCAAGGCAACGAUGCGUAGCCGACCUGAGAGGGUGAUCGGCCACACUGGGACUGAGACACGGCCCAGACUCCUACGGGAGGCAGCAGUAGGGAAUCUUCCGCAAUGGACGAAAGUCUGACGGAGCAACGCCGCGUGAGUGAUGAAGGUUUUCGGAUCGUAAAGCUCUGUUGUUAGGGAAGAACAAGUGCGAGAGUAACUGCUCGCACCUUGACGGUACCUAACCAGAAAGCCACGGCUAACUACGUGCCAGCAGCCGCGGUAAUACGUAGGUGGCAAGCGUUGUCCGGAAUUAUUGGGCGUAAAGGGCUCGCAGGCGGUUUCUUAAGUCUGAUGUGAAAGCCCCCGGCUCAACCGGGGAGGGUCAUUGGAAACUGGGAAACUUGAGUGCAGAAGAGGAGAGUGGAAUUCCACGUGUAGCGGUGAAAUGCGUAGAGAUGUGGAGGAACACCAGUGGCGAAGGCGACUCUCUGGUCUGUAACUGACGCUGAGGAGCGAAAGCGUGGGGAGCGAACAGGAUUAGAUACCCUGGUAGUCCACGCCGUAAACGAUGAGUGCUAAGUGUUAGGGGGUUUCCGCCCCUUAGUGCUGCAGCUAACGCAUUAAGCACUCCGCCUGGGGAGUACGGUCGCMAGACUGAAACUCAAAGUG
rnacentral:rRNA from 1 species